GGAGGAGCUGGGGUUCCAGGGCCGCGCCAGGGGCCUACAGGCGAGGACAGCGAGCCCGCCCAGGACUGACCUUCCCGGAGCCCCGGAGAAGAGCCCUGAGACGAAUGGUUUGGCCCGAGGGCGGGGUGACGCCUGGGCUGCGCGCCGUGGUUGCCAUGGAAGCCAGGCGGAGGGACGGAGCCUGUCUCCGGGCGCCCUGGACACGGGUUGUCUGGGGGACCGCGCAGGGGCGAGGCCCUGCAGCUGGAACAGCAGAAUCGGAUGUGAGAGAGGAGGAGAUUUGACCCAAUGUGACCACAAAGCCAGAGACUGGAGUGAUGCAGCCACAAGCCAAAGAAUGCUGGCAGCCACUAGAAACUGGAAGAAGCAAGGAAGGAAUUUGUCCCCUCGAGCCUCCAGGAAGAGCACAGCCCUGUCAACAUCUGGA